rnacentral:rRNA from 1 species
ACAGAGGUGGCAAGCGUUGUUCGGAAUUACUGGGCGUAAAGCGUGCGCAGGCGGCUCUAUAAGACAGAUGAGAAAUCCCCGGGCUUAACCUGGGAACUGCGUUUGUGACUGUAGGGCUUGAGUGCGGCAGAGGGGGGUGGAAUUCCACGUGUAGCAGUGAAAUGCGUAGAGAUGUGGAGGAACACCGAUGGCGAAGGCAGCCCCCUGGGUCGACACUGACGCUCAUGCACGAAAGCGUGGGGAGCAAACAG